rnacentral:rRNA from 1 species
CCUACGGGUGGCAGCAGUGGGGAAUAUUGGGCAAUGGGCGCAAGCCUGACCCAGCAACGCCGCGUGAAGGACGAAGGCUCUCGGGUUGUAAACUUCUUUUAUCAGGGACGCAGCACGUGACGGUACCUGCUGACUAAGCCAAGUCUAACUACGUGCCAGCAGCCGCGGGAAUACGGAGGGGGCAAUCGUUCUCCGGAUUUACUGGGUGUAAGUGGCGUGUAGGCGGGAAAGGAAGUCAGAUGUGAAAACCAUGGGCUCAACCUGUGGCCUGCAUUUGAAACUGUGUGUCGUGAGUACUGGAGAGGCAGACGGAAUGCCUAGUGGAGCGGUGAAAUGCGUAGAUAUUAGGAGGAACACCAGUGGCGAAGGCGGUCUGCUGGACAGGAACUGACGCUGAGGCGCGAAAGCGUGGGGAGCAAACAGGAUUAGAUACCCCAGUAGUC